rnacentral:rRNA from 1 species
AACGAACGCUGGCGGCAUGCCUAACACAUGCAAGUCGAACGAGACCUUCGGGUCUAGUGGCGCACGGGUGCGUAACGCGUGGGAACCUGCCCUUAGGUUCGGAAUAACUCAGAGAAAUUUGAGCUAAUACCGGAUAAUGUCUUCGGACCAAAGAUUUAUCGCCUUUGGAUGGGCCCGCGUAGGAUUAGCUUGUUGGUGGGGUAAUGGCCUACCAAGGCGACGAUCCUUAGCUGGUCUGAGAGGAUGAUCAGCCACACUGGGACUGAGACACGGCCCAGACUCCUACGGGAGGCAGCAGUGGGGAAUAUUGGACAAAGGGCGAAAGCCUGAUCCAGCAAUGCCGCGUGAGUGAUGAAGGCCUUAGGGUUGUAAAGCUCUUUUACCAGGGAUGAUAAUGACAGUACCUGGAGAAUAAGCUCCGGCUAACUCCGUG